rnacentral:pre_miRNA from 1 species
CAAGUACUCCCUCCGUCCGGAAUUACUUGUCAUCAAAAUGGAUGUGUCUAGAACUAAAAUACAUCUACAUACAUCCAUUUCAAUGAAAAGUAUUUUUGGACGGAGGGAGUACAAG